AGGUUGUGUUGAGGGCACUUCCUUAACAGUUUCUUGAACCGCUCUAGAGCUUCAUAGAGAUUCUCAGUAUCUUGCUGUUUAAAAACCAGGAUGUCGUUCUUCAGCUU